rnacentral:rRNA from 1 species
UCGAGAAUCUUCCGCAAUGGACGAAAGUCUGACGGAGCGACGCCGCGUGAUGGAUGAAGGCCCUCGGGUUGUAAACAUCUGUCGUAGGGGAGGAAAUUUUGACCGAUCCUAGGAGGAAGCGCAGGCUAAGUUCGUGCCAGCAGCCGCGGUAAUACGAACUGCGCAAACGUUAUUCGGAAUCACUGGGCUUAAAGGGUGCGUAGGCGGGUUAGUAGGUCAGAUGUGAAAGCCCACGGCUCAACCGUGGAAUUGCGUUUGAAACCACUAGUCUUGAGGAAGUCAGAGGUAUGCGGAACUGAUGGUGGAGCGGUGAAAUGUGUUGAUAUCAUCAGGAACACCGGUGGCGAAAGCGGCAUACUGGGACUUUUCUGACGCUGAGGCACGAAAGCCAGGGGAGCGAACGGGAUUAGAUACCCCCGUAGUCC